ACCUGGCUGGCUCAGUCAGUGGAGCAUGUGACUCUUAAUCUCAGGGUCAUGAGUUCAAGCCCCAUGUUGAGCA
rnacentral:tRNA from 1 species